rnacentral:rRNA from 2 species
AAGUCGAGCGGACUUAAAAAGCUUGCUUUUUAAGUUAGCGGCGGACGGGUGAGUAACACGUGGGCAACCUGCCUGUAAGACUGGGAUAACUUCGGGAAACCGGAGCUAAUACCGGAUAAUCCUUUUCUACUCAUGUAGGAAAGCUGAAAGACGGUUUACGCUGUCACUUACAGAUGGGCCCGCGGCGCAUUAGCUAGUUGGUGAGGUAACGGCUCACCAAGGCGACGAUGCGUAGCCGACCUGAGAGGGUGAUCGGCCACACUGGGACUGAGACACGGCCCAGACUCCUACGGGAGGCAGCAGUAGGGAAUCUUCCGCAAUGGACGAAAGUCUGACGGAGCAACGCCGCGUGAGUGAUGAAGGUUUUCGGAUCGUAAAACUCUGUUGUUAGGGAAGAACAAGUACGAGAGUAACUGCUCGUACCUUGACGGUACCUAACCAGAAAGCCACGGCUAACUACGUGCCAGCAGCCGCGGUAAUACGUAGGUGGCAAGCGUUGUCCGGAAUUAUUGGGCGUAAAGCGCGCGCAGGCGGUCCUUUAAGUCUGAUGUGAAAGCCCACGGCUCAACCGUGGAGGGUCAUUGGAAACUGGGGGACUUGAGUGCAGAAGAGAAGAGUGGAAUUCCACGUGUAGCGGUGAAAUGCGUAGAGAUGUGGAGGAACACCAGUGGCGAAGGCGACUCUUUGGUCUGUAACUGACGCUGAGGCGCGAAAGCGUGGGGAGCAAACAGGAUUAGAUACCCCUGGUAGUCCACGCCGUAAACGAUGAGUGCUAAGUGUUAGAGGGGUUUCCGCCCUUUAGUGCUGCAGCAAACGCAUUAAGCACUCCCGCCUGGGGGAGUACGGCCGCAAGGCUGAAACUCAAAGGAAUUGAC